rnacentral:tRNA from 1 species
GGUGGGGUGACGGAGUGGUCGAACGUGGCGGUCUUGAAAACCGUUGAUCCUAACCGGAUCCGUGGGUUCGAAUCCCACCCCCACCGCCA